CUUGGUCAUUUAGACUUAAAAACCCAAGAUAAUUAUUACAGUCACGCAAAAACAUUUGCACAAUCGCAUGUAUAUAAUUUAUUGCGUACUGGCAUGGGUGAGAAGAUGGGAGAAACUAUCCCUAACGGUAUAUUUGGCUGGAGGCAGAAACUUCGAGAUAAGUCGGCACGAUUCAUCAGGCAUUCACACGAGGAGCUCAAUGAAAAAUACCGCAAAGUAACGUAUGGGUAUUGCAAAAGUAAAAACUUCCCUUAUGAUUGCGUAGAAGAUUGCCGUGUUUGUCUCACUAAUUUCAUCUUCAAGCCAAGA
rnacentral:misc_RNA from 1 species